rnacentral:lncRNA from 1 species
UCCACUAAAAGGCCCACCUAUCCCUAAUAAUUGUGUACUUCUUAUAUAACCAUAGGGAUGGGGUACUGAUUCUGAUCACUUUCCUGUGAGUUUCCUGAGGGGAUGUUUCAUCUUCAGAAAAUAGACAUGGCUGAAGAAAGAACUUCAAAUUGGAAAAAGAUUAAAAAUAGAGAACAGAAGAAGAAAGAAGUUGAGAGCAAGACACUGAGAUACUAAAAAUGUUACUCCACAAGGAGGCUGAAGGAACACUCUUUUAGGGGGAAAAAUACUGAGACAAAAGCACAAAAGGCCAAAGUGAAGUCAUAGGUUACUGACCUUAUUAGAUCUCACACACUCCUAAAAUCUGAAAAUGCUGGCCUUCGGUUGUGUAGACUGUCUAGACUCUGCCAUCCACAGGAUCAGUGAGAUACAGAAGGGGCCCUGUACCAUUCCAGGAAGACUUUAAGCACAGCUUGUCAACUUUCUAGACUGCACUUUCAAGUCUCACUAAAAAAGACCUUCCCUCUCCAUUCUAUUUCUUUAAUUACUUUCUUUCAUAAUUGAUCUGGAGUGUGAAUGACUUGAAUUUAUUCACUGUGUACUGACAUUUAUAUGCUUUUACAUAAUUUAUAUGAUUAUCCAUUAUAUUAUUAAAUUAAUUUUCUCAUUUUAUUUUAUAAGGCUUUGGGGGUCAC